CAUUGAUGGAUGCUCAGCCCUUUUGAUCAUCAAACCCCUAUAUCCAUUAAAAUGGAGGCAGCCACUCUUCAAAAUGUGUCCCAAAGUGACUUCCACAACAUCCAGAACCAACAACAAUUUUCAAGUUUAUUCAAGAGCAGAUGGUAAUUUAAGGCUUCCAUGCCGCCUCCCUGAAGUUAUUUGGACUCUUCCUCAAGCCACACUGCAGAUUGCAGCGAUUCAACUCCCUCAACUCAUAAGACCCCCUUGAUCCUUCCAGCUCUGAGAGAAUCCACUGGAAGCCAGGAAAGCUUGCACAGGAGCUCUUUGCCUCUCCAGUGCCACCCAGCCCUUGAUCUUCCUGUACCGAUUGACAGCUCAACUCUGACUGUCAAGGGUGCUCCACCACCAGUGCCCCCUGGUCCUCCUUGGCAGGUGCAUGUUCCAGAUCCUCUGUCCCAGACCUGCAUAUUUUCCAGAAGAUCCGGUUAUACCCUUCAGGAAGACAAGCAGAAAAGCCAAUUGGCUGGCAAGGAAAGUUAAAACAAUGUUGAAAAAAGCAAGAGACUUGUUAUUCCUCAAGAAUCUGAG